GAUAAAUAUAGAUGGAAUCCGUGUCCAGGUCUUGUAUCACGGUAUAUGGGGAUACAUUUGUGGGACUCGCUGGGGUCACAAGGCAGCUUCCGUUGUUUGUGGAGAUGGUAGAGAAGGUUCAGCGUAUCGGAUGGACAGUUCAUACAAUGAAAUAAAACCCACGUGGAUUUUCGAUGCGGAUUGUAGUGGUGAUGAGACGAACCUAACCUCGUGUAAUAUAACAUACGGGGAUGAUACCAGCUUCACAUGUGCCUCAGAGAAAUAUGCAGCCGUGACAUGUUAUGAUGACCCUUACGAAUACUCCCUCUCCGGGGGCGGAACUGACUAUGGAUACUUGCAGAUAACAAAAAACGGUAAAACAGGAUACGCCAUUAACUUGAAAACUGAUUCCUUGGUUGCUAGAUCGGCUUGCUUUAGUCUUGGUUUUAAUGGUGGAAAGACAACGAUAAUGCCCGCAGUUUCAUCGAAAUACUGGUGGGAUGUCUCACGCGACGACAAUGUACUCAUUCAUCGAUUAAAGGUGAUAAACGAUCAGCCUUACUAUUCCGGAUCCGAUCAGAAAUAUCUCGCUGUUAGAUGCUAUGGAAAAGUAAGAUUCGGUGGAGGUCACACCAGCAACUAUGGAUAUCUCUUGGAGUUCAUGUACACACGAUUUUAUUCUUUCUGUGGCGAUGGUCUUACACUGAAGGAAGGUGACGCGUUUUGUAAGGAAUUAGGCUGGGUCCGAGCAACGUCGAUUUCCUCAAAU